rnacentral:rRNA from 1 species
CCGAUGAAGGACGUUACUAACGACGAUAUGCUUUGGGGAGCUGUAAGUAAGCUUUGAUCCAGAGAUUUCCGAAUGGGGAAACCCAGCAUGAGUUAUGUCAUGUUAUCGAUAUGUGAAUACAUAGCAUAUCAGAAGGCACACCCGGAGAACUGAAACAUCUUAGUACCCGGAGGAAGAGAAAGAAAAUUCGAUUCCCUUAGUAGCGGCGAGCGAAACGGGAAGAGCCCAAACCAACAAGCUUGCUUGUUGGGGUUGUAGGACACUCUAUACGGAGUUACAAAGGACGACAUUAGACGAAUCAUCUGGAAAGAUGAAUCAAAGAAGGUAAUAAUCCUGUAGUCGAAAAUGUUGUCUCUCUUGAGUGGAUCCUGAGUACGACGGAGCACGUGAAAUUCCGUCGGAAUCUGGGAGGACCAUCUCCUAAGGCUAAAUACUCUCUAGUGACCGAUAGUGAACCAGUACCGUGAGGGAAAGGUGAAAAGCACCCCGGAAGGGGAGUGAAAUAGAACCUGAAACCGUGUGCUUACAAGUAGUCAGAGCCCGUUAAUGGGUGAUGGCGUGCCUUUUGUAGAAUGAACCGGCGAGUUACGAUUUGAUGCAAGGUUAAGCAGUAAAUGUGGAGCCGUAGCGAAAGCGAGUCUGAAUAGGGCGUUUAGUAUUUGGUCGUAGACCCGAAACCAGGUGAUCUACCCUUGGUCAGGUUGAAGUUCAGGUAACACUGAAUGGAGGACCGAACCGACUUACGUUGAAAAGUGAGCGGAUGAACUGAGGGUAGCGGAGAAAUUCCAAUCGAACCUGGAGAUAGCUGGUUCUCUCCGAAAUAGCUUUAGGGCUAGCCUCAAGUGAUGAUUAUUGGAGGUAGAGCACUGUUUGGACGAGGGGCCCCUCUCGGGUUACCGAAUUCAGACAAACUCCGAAUGCCAAUUAAUUUAACUUGGGAGUCAGAACAUGGGUGAUAAGGUCCGUGUUCGAAAGGGAAACAGCCCAGACCACCAGCUAAGGU